rnacentral:rRNA from 1 species
UACAGAGGUCCCAAGCGUUGUUCGGAUUCACUGGGCGUAAAGGGUGCGCAGGUGGUCGGGUAAGUCUGACGUGAAAUCCCGCAGCUUAACUGCGGAAUGGCAUUGGAUACUAUUCGGCUAGAGGGUUGGAGGGGGACUGGAAUUCUCGGUGUAGCAGUGAAAUGCGUAGAUAUCGAGAGGAACACCAGUGGCGAAGGCGGGUCUCUGGGCCGAUGACUGACGCUGAGGAGCGAAAGCGUGGGGAGCGAACAGG